UAGGGAAUCUUCCGCAAUGGACGCAAGUCUGACGGAGCAACGCCGCGUGAGUGAAGAAGGAUUUCGGUUCGUAAAACUCUGUUGUUAGAGAAGAACAGCGCAUAGAGUAACUGUUAUGCGUGUGACGGUAUCUAACCAGAAAGCCACGGCUAACUACGUGCCAGCAGCCGCGGUAAUACGUAGGUGGCAAGCGUUGUCCGGAUUUAUUGGGCGUAAAGCGAGCGCAGGCGGUCAAUUAAGUCUGAUGUGAAAGCCCCCGGCUCAACCGGGGAGGGUCAUUGGAAACUGGUUGACUUGAGUGCAGAAGAGGAGAGUGGAAUUCCAUGUGUAGCGGUGAAAUGCGUAGAUAUAUGGAGGAACACCGGUGGCGAAAGCGGCUCUCUGGUCUGUAACUGACGCGGAGGCUCGAAAGCGUGGGGAGCGAACAGG
rnacentral:rRNA from 1 species